AGUGCUCUGAACUUGCACCGGUAGACUGCAGAUCUGCUCUUGGGGAGACUCACUGGGCCUAGGUUUCCCUGCACUCCUGGGCUUCCGACACAGCGACCGUGCUCUGCUGUGAUCGCGGAGGGCGUGGGAAGGGUCCUGGAAAUCACGAUAGAAAAACACAAAACCCGGUUCCACGCGGUGCUUUAGUGGCUAAAAGUGAAAGAGCUGCCUUGGCAGAAUCAGCUCUAUGAAUCACUUCGGAAAAUUGGUGGGGACUGGACCUCCUCAAUUACACCAACACGGGGUGUAAAAGACGACGCUCUCACGCGGAGGGGAGAUGCGUGCCAUGGAAAUGUGACGGACGCUGCAUGGCUCGGGACGCGGCUCCCCGGCGCGGGCGGACAGAGACCUAGAGACGACGGGCUGCGCCCCGCC
rnacentral:lncRNA from 1 species